rnacentral:rRNA from 1 species
UGUUAGUUGCCAUCAUUCAGUUGGGCACUCUAGCGAGACUGCCGGUAAUAAACCGGAGGAAGGUGGGGAUGACGUCAAAUCAUCAUGCCCCUUAUGACCUGGGCUACACACGUGCUACAAUGGUUGGUACAACGAGUUGCGAGUCGGUGACGGCGAGCUAAUCUCUUAAAGCCAAUCUCAGUUCGGAUUGUAGGCUGCAACUCGCCUACAUGAAGUCGGAAUCGCUAGUAAUCGCGGAUCAGCACGCCGCGGUGAAUACGUUCCCGGGCCUU